GACGAACGCUGGCGGCGUGCUUAACACAUGCAAGUCGAACGGAAAGGCCCUGCUUUUGUGGGCUGCUCGAGUGGCGAACGGGUGCGUAACACGUGAGUAACCUGCCCUUGACUUUGGGAUAACUUCAGGAAACUGGGGCUAAUACCGGAUAGGAGCCCCUGCUGCAUGGUGGGGGUUGGAAAGUUUCGGCGGUUGGGGAUGGACUCGCGGCUUAUCAGCUUGUUGGUGGGGUAGUGGCUUACCAAGGCUUUGACGGGUAGCCGACAUGAGAGGGUGACCGGCGACAAUAGGACUAAGAGAGGGCCCAGACGCCUACGGGGGGCAGCAGUGGGAAGUAUUACACAGUAGGCGAAAGCCUGAUACAGCAACGCCGCGGGCGGGAUGACGGCCUUCGGGUUGUAAACCGCUUUCGCCUGUGACGAAGCGUGAGUGACGGUAAUGGGUAAAGAAGCACCGGCUAACUACGUG
rnacentral:rRNA from 1 species